ACUCAGACACAGGUCCUGCNUGGUUAGUCGUCAGCUCGUGUCGUGAGAUGUUGGGUUAAGUCCCGUAACGAGCGCAACCUUGGUCCUUUANGUACNCNAGACGUUAUGGUGGGAACUCUAAGGAGACUGCCGGUGACAAACCGGAGGAAGGUGGGGAUGACUGUCAAGUCAUCAUGGGNCCUUCACGUGCCAGGGACUACACACAGUGCUACGAAUGGUACGGGUACAAAGGGUNGCCAAGCCGCGAGGGUGGAGGAUAANUACCCAUAAAAGCGAU
rnacentral:rRNA from 1 species